rnacentral:rRNA from 1 species
AUUGAACGCUGGCGGCAUGCCUUACACAUGCAAGUCGAACGGCAGCACGGGUGCUUGCACCUGGUGGCGAGUGGCGAACGGGUGAGUAAUACAUCGGAACGUACCUUAUCGUGGGGGAUAACGCAGCGAAAGCUGUGCUAAUACCGCAUACGCCCUGAGGGGGAAAGCGGGGGAUCGAAAGACCUCGCGCGAUUAGAGCGGCCGAUGCCUGAUUAGCUUGUUGGUGGGGUAAAAGCCCACCAAGGCGACGAUCAGUAGCUGGUCUGAGAGGACGAUCAGCCACACGGGGACUGAGACACGGCCCAGACUCCUACGGGAGGCAGCAGUGGGGAAUUUUGGACAAUGGGGGCAACCCUGAUCCAGCAAUGCCGCGUGAGUGAAGAAGGCCUUCGGGUUGUAAAGCUCUUUUGUCAGGGAAGAAACACCGGCUCUAACACAGUCCGGGAAUGACGGUACUUGAAGAAUAAGCACCGGCUAACUACGUGCCAGCAGCCGCAGUAA